rnacentral:rRNA from 1 species
UACGGGGGGGGCUAGCGUUGUUCGGAAUUACUGGGCGUAAAGGGCGCGUAGGCGGUUCAUUAAGUUGGAUGUGAAAACUCUGGGCUUAACCCAGAGCCUGCAUUCAAAACUGAUGGGCUGGAGUUCUGGAGGGGAUAGCGGAAUUCCUGGUGUAGCGGUGAAAUGCGCAGAUAUCAGGAGGAACACCGGUGGCGAAGGCGGCUUGCUGGGCCUUACCUGACGCUGAGGAGCGAAAGCGUGGGGAGCGAACAGG